rnacentral:rRNA from 1 species
AACGAACGCUGGCGGCGUGGGUAAGACAUGCAAGUCGAACGGGAACUUCAGCUGUAGCAAUACAGUUGAAGUUUUAGUGGCGAACGGGUGCGUAACACGUGGGCAAUCUGCCGAGAAGUGGGGGAUAGCUCGCCGAAAGGCGAAUUAAUACCGCAUAUGAUCAGCUAAGACAUCUUAGCGACAUCAAAGCCGGGGCGAACCUGGCGCUUUUGUAGGAGCCCGCCGGCCUAUCAGCUAGUUGGUGAGGUAACGGCUCACCAAGGCUAUGACGGGUAGCUGGUCUGAGAGGACGACCAGUCACACUGGAACUGAGACACGGUCCAGACACCUACGGGUGGCAGCAGUCGAGUAAUUUUCUCAAUGGGGCAACCCUGAAGGAGCGACGCCGCGUGGAGGAUGAAGGCUUUCGGUUGUAAACUCCUGUCAUUGAGACAAGUGCAUCGGUUAACUGCCGAUGC